rnacentral:tRNA from 1 species
UCCCUGGUGGCUCAGUGGUAAAGAAUCUGCCUGCCAAUGCAGGAGACACGGGUUCAAUUCCUGAUCUGGGAG